rnacentral:lncRNA from 1 species
UAUAUAUAACUAGGCUGGAAUAUUAUUAAUAGCACCAAGUUAUUGGUGCUAUUAGUUUUUUAGCUCUUGGAUUGAGAAAUAUACGAUUAGGAUGAUGUGGGCCCCAUAGGGUUGAGUGGGUGGUUGGUUGUAUAGUAUAAUUUAACGGCUAAAAAUAAUUAAUGGGUUAAAUUUAACGGUGGAAAACUUGAUAGCACCAAAUUCUUGGUGCUAUCGAUAAUAUCCCAGCCGGACUAUAUAUAUAUAUAUAUAUAUAUAUAUAUAUAGAGUUGAGCUAUGAUACUUUUACAAGUAUCAUCAUCAUGGUGCUAUUAGGUUUUAAGCCAUUAAUUGGAUCUACUUUUUGAUUAUUAAUAGCCCUUGGAUUAAACACUAUUCCACCUAUCACCACCUACCACCACCUACCACCAUCAUCUCAAUCUCACAUCUCUCCAUCCAAGGGUUAAAAACACACAAAUAUCACCCCCAUGAUACUUUUACAAGUAUUCUAGCCCUACUCUAUAUAUAUAUAUAUAUAGUAGGGCUGCUAUACUCUUAUGAGUACGUAUUAGGUCUUUCGUACUCAUAAGUUGUUUUCGAUGAUGGAGCUUUCGAAUCGAUGAUCCACUCUGUUAAAUAUGAUCUAGAGUAUUUGAAACUUCUAGAAAAUAAAUUUUGUAAUUUUUCGAAAUCAUAAUAAUGUUCAUCAAGCGAGCAUAAAAUGACAGGUCAAAUCGAACGACGCCUUAAAAAAGGAUGAUCGGAUUCUUCAAUUUAAGAUCGGAGUUAUUGAUCUUUAUAUAGGUAGUGAAUAGAAUUUUCUAUCAAAAAUUCAACCUAUUUGGAUUCUUUUGCACCGUUAAACUAGCAAGUAUUCCAUACAGCCGUUAAAAAUUGUCAAUUUUGUGAGCUUUUGAUCGUAAGGUAAAUGAUGUCUAAAAAUUAUGAAAUUUGAUUUCUAGAAGUUUUAAAUGCUCUAGAAAAUGUUUAACGGUAUGGAUUAUCGAUUCGGAA